UACGGGGGGGGCAAGCGUUGUUCGGAAUUACUGGGCGUAAAGGGUUUGUAGGUGGCUUGCUAAGUCAGACGUGAAAUCCCUCAGCUUAACUGGGGAACUGCGUCUGAGACUGGCGAGCUCGAGUGCAGGAGAGGAACGCGGAAUUCCAGGUGUAGCGGUGAAAUGCGUAGAUAUCUGGAGGAACACCGGUGGCGAAAGCGGCUCACUGGGGCUUUUCUGACGCUGAGGGACGAAAGCUAGGGGAGCGAACGGG
rnacentral:rRNA from 1 species